rnacentral:rRNA from 1 species
GAUGAACGCUAGCGGGAGGCCUAACACAUGCAAGCCGAGCGGUAGAGAUUCUUCGGAAUCUUGAGAGCGGCGUACGGUGCGGAACACGUGUGCAACCUACCUUUAUCUGGAGGAUAGCCUUUCGAAAGGAAGAUUAAUACUCCAUAAUAUAUUGAUUGGCAUCGAUUGAUAUUGAAGGCUCCGGCGGAUAGAGAUGGGCACGCGCAAGAUUAGCUAGUUGGUGAGGUAACGGCUCACCAAGGCGAUGAUCUUUAGGGGCCUGAGAGGGUGAUCCCCACACUGGUACUGAGACACGGACCAGACUCCUACGGGAGGCAGCAGUGAGGAAUAUUGGUCAAUGGGUGCAAGCCUGAACCAGCCAUCCCGCGUGAAGGACGACUGCCCUAUGGGUUGUAAACUUCUUUUGUAUAGGGAUAAACCUACCCUCGUGAGGUAGCUGAAGGUACUAUACGAAUAAGCACCGGCUAACUCCGUGCCAGCAGCCGCGGUAAU